rnacentral:rRNA from 1 species
AUGAACGCUAGCUACAGGCUUAACACAUGCAAGUCGAGGGGCAGCAUGAUUGAAGCUUGCUUCAAUCGAUGGCGACCGGCGCACGGGUGAGUAACACGUAUCCAACCUGCCGAUAACUCGGGGAUAGCCUUUCGAAAGAAAGAUUAAUACCCGAUAGUAUAGUUUUUCCGCAUGGUUUCACUAUUAAAGAAUUUCGGUUAUCGAUGGGGAUGCGUUCCAUUAGAUAGUUGGCGGGGUAACGGCCCACCAAGUCAACGAUGGAUAGGGGUUCUGAGAGGAAGGUCCCCCACAUUGGAACUGAGACACGGUCCAAACUCCUACGGGAGGCAGCAGUGAGGAAUAUUGGUCAAUGGACGAGAGUCUGAACCAGCCAAGUAGCGUGAAGGAUGACUGCCCUAUGGGUUGUAAACUUCUUUUAUACGGGAAUAAAGUGGAGUAUGCAUACUCCUUUGUAUGUACCGUAUGAAUAAGGAUCGGCUAACUCCGUGCCAGCAGCCGCGGUAAUACGGAGGAUCCGAGCGUUAUCCGGAUUUAUUGGGUUUAAAGGGAGCGUAGGCGGGUGCUUAAGUCAGUUGUGAAAGUUUGCGGCUCAACCGUAAAAUUGCAGUUGAUACUGGGCGCCUUGAGUGCAGCAUAGGUAGGCGGAAUUCGUGGUGUAGCGGUGAAAUGCUUAGAUAUCACGAAGAACUCCGAUUGCGAAGGCAGCUUACUGGACUGUAACUGACGCUGAUGCUCGAAAGUGUGGGUAUCAAACAGGAUUAGAUACCCUGGUAGUCCACACAGUAAACGAUGAAUACUCGCUGUUGGCGAUACACAGUCAGCGGCCAAGCGAAAGCAUUAAGUAUUCCACCUGGGGAGUACGCCGGCAACGGUGAAACUCAAAGGAAUUGACGGGGACCCGCACAAGCGGUGGAGCAUGUGGUUUAAUUCGAAGCAACGCGAAGAACCUUACCAGGUCUUGACAUCCUUUGACCACCUAAGAGAUUAGGCUUUCCCUUCGGGGACAAAGUGACAGGUGGUGCAUGGCUGUCGUCAGCUCGUGUCGUGAGGUGUCGGCUUAAGUGCCAUAACGAGCGCAACCCUUAUCUAUAGUUACUAUCAGGUCAUGCUGAGGACUCUAUGGAGACUGCCGUCGUAAGAUGUGAGGAAGGUGGGGAUGACGUCAAAUCAGCACGGCCCUUACGUCCGGGGCUACACACGUGUUACAAUGGGGGGUACAGAAGGCAGCUACCUGGCGACUGGAUGCUAAUCCCUAAAACCUCUCUCAGUUCGGAUUGGAGUCUGCAACCCGACUCCAUGAAGCUGGAUUCGCUAGUAAUCGCGCAUCAGCCACGGCGCGGUGAAUACGUUCCCGGGCCUUGUACACACCGCCCGUCAAGCCAUGAAAGCCGGGGGUACCUGAAGUACGUAACCGCAAGGAGCGUCCUAGGGUAAAACUGGUGAUUGGGGCU